rnacentral:lncRNA from 1 species
GGAGCCUUUCCCCUUUCCCAAAGGAAGGGUGGGGCGGCGCCGGCCGGUGCAGGAGCCCCUGCGGGCCGCUGGCGUCUGGCAGCAGCGACUCUCCCGGGUCAGUCGGCAGAGCGAGGCGGCUGCCUUUCCACCUCCGUGAGUACUGCCGAGGGGAAAACUGGGGAAGUGGGUCAGCCCGGCGGCUCCCAUCCACAGACCCUCCCCGCCCCAGCCGCCCGCUCUCCCGCGGAGCUUAAGGAGUCUGCUCCCGCCCGGCGGUGUUGCCCGAGUGGCCCUGCCCAGGGGCGGGGCGGGCCGGUCCCUGCGCCAAGGCGCUGCGCCCGCCGGCUGCCCUUGCCCACACGCGGCACCCAUCCUGCGGCGCGGUUGGCCCUCCCGCCACCCCCUCGGCGGGGCCCUUCCCUUUACUAUGGUAAUAGUGACAUUCAGCGGGAAAGGCUAGCACGGCGACGGCGCCCCGGCUCCCGCAGAACGGACGCUCGGGCCGCGGAGGGGGCUGUGCGCCCUCGUACCGCUGGACGCCGGGGGCGGGCGGCCGCCGCGCUCUCCCCGCCCGGCCCGGCCCCUCCGCCGCCGCCGCGGGGCAGCCCCCCGAGCCACGGCCCCGGCUGGCGGGCGAGCUGCGGGCAGGAUCCCAGCGCUCGGGCUCUGGCGCGGGGAAAGGACAGAAACGGCGCAUCGGGAGGGACCCUGCCUCACCGCUUGUAUAUGGCAAAGUUUCUCACCGAGCUCCUGGGCUGCACGUUGCCACGCAAGGGCGCCUCUCCCAUGUUUGAGUCUAAAAGUCAUUCCCGAGUUGGCCUGAAAUCAAGCACCAAGCAAAAGACCACCAUUUUCAGCACAUUGGCCAGUGAGAAGUCCUUAUCUGACUGCAAAAAGGUAAGUCAGCAUCCGAUAAUUCUAGCACGCUGUCAGAGUAAGAAAGGCUUCAGAGUUGGUGAUAUUCGAAUGAAAAGCCAUGGUAUCAGUGGGGAUGUUCUGAUGGAAUAUUAUGGCUCUCUUUCUUUAGAGAUGGAAAUGUGA